AGCGAACGCUGGCGGCAGGCUUAACACAUGCAAGUCGAGCGGGCAUCCUUGUGGUGUCCGCGGCAGACGGGUGAGUAACGCGUGGGAACGUGCCCUUCGGUUCGGAAUAACUCAGGGAAACUUGAGCUAAUACCGGAUACGCCCUUUUGGGGAAAGGUUUACUGCCGAAGGGUCGGCCCGCGUCUGAUUAGCUAGUUGGUGAGGUUAUGGCUCACCAAGGCGACGAUCAGUAGCUGGUCUGAGAGGAUGAUCAGCCACACUGGGACUGAGACACGGCCCAGACUCCUACGGGAGGCAGCAGUGGGGAAUAUUGGACAAUGGGGGCAACCCUGAUCCAGCCAUGCCGCGUGAGUGAUGACGGCCUUAGGGUUGUAAAGCUCUUUUCGCCGGGACGAUAAUGACGGUACCGGAGGAAGAAGCCCCGGCUAACUUCGU
rnacentral:rRNA from 1 species